AAGCAUACUGUUUCCUGCAACUGAGAGGUUAUUGCUUCCAAGUCCAAUAAAUGACAAGUGUUUGAGUUGACCAAAAGAAUGUGGAAUAUUUCCACCGAAGAAAUUUUGAUGAGCAGAGAAUAUCUCAAGUGAGCUAAAAUUCCCAAAAAAUGGCGGUAAGCCCCCGCUUAAAUAAUUAAAAUGAAUUGAAAUACGUUUGAGCUUGGACAAAGAGGCGAGCUCCACUGGAAUGUUUCCAACCAGCAUGUUGUAACCUAAUCCAAGUCCCUUGAUGUUCAAGCAUUUGGACAAGUUG
rnacentral:misc_RNA from 1 species